AAUAACACACACCAAACACCGCCAAGAUGAGACGCUUACUUAACCUCUUGGUUCUACUGUCUGUGAUAGCAUUACUGGUCUUACACGUAACACAUGCCCAAUUCUAUCGGAGAAGGCAUGGCUGGAUGUAUGGCAAUAAUGAUAAUGACGACAAUGGCAACGGCAAUGGGUGGCCACGUUUUCCAGGCUGGGGAUGGAAUAGAUGGUAUGACUAAUCCUGUCUCGACCGACAGUUUCAUGGAGCUUUGAGUUAGAUUUU